rnacentral:rRNA from 1 species
AGAGUUUGAUCCUGGCUCAGGAUGAACGCUAGCUACAGGCUUAACACAUGCAAGUCGAGGGGAAACGAUAUUGGAAGCUUGCUUCCGAUAGGCGUCGACCGGCGCACGGGUGAGUAACGCGUAUCCAACCUGCCCACCACUUGGGGAUAACCUUGCGAAAGUAAGACUAAUACCCAAUGACGUCUCUAGAAGACAUCUGAAAGGGAUUAAAGAUUUAUCGGUGAUGGAUGGGGAUGCGUCUGAUUAGCUUGUUGGCGGGGUAACGGCCCACCAAGGCGACGAUCAGUAGGGGUUCUGAGAGGAAGGUCCCCCACAUUGGAACUGAGACACGGUCCAAACUCCUACGGGAGGCAGCAGUGAGGAAUAUUGGUCAAUGGACGAGAGUCUGAACCAGCCAAGUAGCGUGCAGGAUGACGGCCCUAUGGGUUGUAAACUGCUUUUAUAAGGGAAUAAAGUGAGUCUCGUGAGACUUUUUGCAUGUACCUUAUGAAUAAGGACCGGCUAAUUCCGUGCCAGCAGCCGCGGUAAUACGGAAGGUCCGGGCGUUAUCCGGAUUUAUUGGGUUUAAAGGGAGCGUAGGCCGGAGAUUAAGCGUGUUGUGAAAUGUAGACGCUCAACGUCUGCACUGCAGCGCGAACUGGUUUCCUUGAGUACGCACAAAGUGGGCGGAAUUCGUGGUGUAGCGGUGAAAUGCUUAGAUAUCACGAAGAACUCCGAUUGCGAAGGCAGCUCACUGGAGCGCAACUGACGCUGAAGCUCGAAAGUGCGGGUAUCGAACAGGAUUAGAUACCCUGGUAGUCCGCACGGUAAACGAUGGAUGCCCGCUGUUGGUCUGAAUAGGUCAGCGGCCAAGCGAAAGCAUUAAGCAUCCCACCUGGGGAGUACGCCGGCAACGGUGAAACUCAAAGGAAUUGACGGGGGCCCGCACAAGCGGAGGAACAUGUG